GAUGAACGCUAGCGGCAGGCCUAAUACAUGCAAGUCGAACGAUACCAUCUGGCUUGCCAGAUGGGAAAGUGGCGCACGGGUGCGUAACGCGUAUGCAACCUACCUUAAUCAGGGGGAUAGCCCGAAGAAAUUCGGAUUAACACCGCAUAAAAACACAGUACAGCAUUGUACAAUGUUCAAAUAUUUAUAGGAUUAAGAUG
rnacentral:rRNA from 1 species